rnacentral:misc_RNA from 1 species
ACAAAUGUAAUCCAAUUACCAACCACACUGUGCACUGUUAACGUAUGCUUUGGUAGGGAGGGAAAUGACGGGGGUCUUCGGACGCCAGUCUUUCGAUCUGCCAGAGUUUUUUAAAUACUAAACAAACAAACGUCUUAUUAUCUGACUGAACUUCAUUUAAACAAAUGAAAAUA